rnacentral:rRNA from 1 species
UACGUAGGGGCGAGCGUUGUCCGGAAUCAUUGGGCGUAAAGCGCGUGUAGGCGGUCAGUAAGUCUGCUGUGAAAGUUCCAGGGCUCAACCCUGGGAUGCCGGUGGAUACUGCUGAACUAGAGUGCGGAAGAGGCGAGUGGAAUUCCCGGUGUAAGCGGUGAAAUGCGCAGGAUAAUCGGGAGGAACACCAAUUGCGAAGGCAGCUCCGGCUAGGACGUUACUGACGCUGAGACGCGAAAGCGUGGGAGCAAACAGGG